rnacentral:rRNA from 2 species
GGAGCGUUCUGUAAGCCUGCGAAGGUGUGCUGUGAGGCAUGCUGGAGGUAUCAGAAGUGCGAAUGCUGACAUAAGUAACGAUAAAGCGGGUGAAAAGCCCGCUCGCCGGAAGACCAAGGGUUCCUGUCCAACGUUAAUCGGGGCAGGGUGAGUCGACCCCUAAGGCGAGGCCGAAAGGCGUAGUCGAUGGGAAACAGGUUAAUAUUCCUGUACUUGGUGUUACUGCGAAGGGGGGACGGAGAAGGCUAUGUUGGCCGGGCGACGGUUGUCCCGGUUUAAGCGUGUAGGCUGGUUUUCCAGGCAAAUCCGGAAAAUCAAGGCUGAGGCGUGAUGACGAGGCACUACGGUGCUGAAGCAACAAAUGCCCUGCUUCCAGGAAAAGCCUCUAAGCAUCAGGUAACAUCAAAUCGUACCCCAAACCGACACAGGUGGUCAGGUAGAGAAUACCAAGGCGCUUGAGAGAACUCGGGUGAAGGAACUAGGCAAAAUGGUGCCGUAACUUCGGGAGAAGGCACGCUGAUAUGUAGGUGAAGUCCCUUGCGGAUGGAGCUGAAAUCAGUCGAAGAUACCAGCUGGCUGCAACUGUUUAUUAAAAACACAGCACUGUGCAAACACGAAAGUGGACGUAUACGGUGUGACGCCUGCCCGGUGCCGGAAGGUUAAUUGAUGGGGUCAGCGCAAGCGAAGCUCUUGAUCGAAGCCCCGGUAAACGGCGGCCGUAACUAUAACGGUCCUAAGGUAGCGAAAUUCCUUGUCGGGUAAGUUCCGACCUGCACGAAUGGCGUAAUGAUGGCCAGGCUGUCUCCACCCGAGACUCAGUGAAAUUGAACUCGCUGUGAAGAUGCAGUGUACCCGCGGCAAGACGGAAAGACCCCGUGAACCUUUACUAUAGCUUGACACUGAACAUUGAGCCUUGAUGUGUAGGAUAGGUGGGAGGCUUUGAAGUGUGGACGCCAGUCUGCAUGGAGCCGGCCUUGAAAUACCACCCUUUAAUGUUUGAUGUUCUAACGUGGACCCGUGAUCCGGGUUGCGGACAGUGUCUGGUGGGUAGUUUGACUGGGGCGGUCUCCUCCUAAAGAGUAACGGAGGAGCACGAAGGUUGGCUAAUCCUGGUCGGACAUCAGGAGGUUAGUGCAAUGGCAUAAGCCAGCUUGACUGCGAGCGUGACGGCGCGAGCAGGUGCGAAAGCAGGUCAUAGUGAUCCGGUGGUUCUGAAUGGAAGGGCCAUCGCUCAACGGAUAAAAGGUACUCCGGGGAUAACAGGCUGAUACCGCCCAAGAGUUCAUAUCGACGGCGGUGUUUGGCACCUCGAUGUCGGCUCAUCACAUCCUGGGGCUGAAGUAGGUCCCAAGGGUAUGGCUGUUCGCCAUUUAAAGUGGUACGCGAGCUGGGUUUAGAACGUCGUGAGACAGUUCGGUCCCUAUCUGCCGUGGGCGCUGGAGAACUGAGGGGGGCUGCUCCUAGUACGAGAGGACCGGAGUGGACGCAUCACUGGUGUUCGGGUUGUCAUGCCAAUGGCACUGCCCGGUAGCUAAAUGCGGAAGAGAUAAGUGCUGAAAGCAUCUAAGCACGAAACUUGCCCCGAGAUGAGUUCUCCCUGACCCUUUAAGGGUCCUGAAGGAACGUUGA